rnacentral:tRNA from 1 species
GAUUUUGUAAUUUAAAUAUAAAAUAUUGAUUUUGUAAAUCAAACAUUAGAUCGCCUACAAAAUCU